AAAAAAAAAAAAAAAAAAAAAAACCUGAUUCUUAGGAAACAAUGAAAUCAGGAGGAGACAUGGGUGAGAACGAAGGAGAAGGUUGUAUAGCUUCACCCAUUCAAUGGAUAUGAUUUCAGGCAGACCCUGGGUGAUGCAGAGGGCAGAAAGCCCUUGUGUGCAGUCCAAGGGGUCACAGAGAGUAAGACAUGGCUUUGUGACUGAAUAACAACAAGAUUUCAGUUAAUAAAAUGGAUCUUCCAGGGUCAUGGUGGAGGUCUCAUAAUGUUAGAGGAAUAGGAGGCACAGUCCACUUUCUCCUCCACAAAUCCAUCAAAGGAUCGACUGCACAUGGACCACCUUCCAGAAAUCAACUUGAACGAUGUUGAUGGUCCCUAGAAACCAAGAAAUGAAAACCCAUCUCUUAAAAAGGAGGUAGGACAAAAUAAGAGAUGGACAUGAAGAAAAGGUUUUAGGGAACGAGACUCCCCUUGGAGAGGGAGUCGUAAAGGAGGAAAAUUAAAACAAGAUAGGAAACCCUCUCUCAAAAGUGUCAGUGGGAGGAAAAAGAAAA
rnacentral:sRNA from 1 species